CCAGCCCAGUACAGGAAUUCUAAACAAAACAAAACAAACAACAAAGAGCAAUUACAACAAAAUCUAGGUACUAUACCAACAAUGUUACAUGGUAGUUAUAAUGUAGGUGCAAAUAUUUAUGGGAGUCAACAUAAACCAAUUUAAUCAGAGUCUGCUUGUGUGGAGAAAAAAAAAAUAUUACUGGAAAUCCACAUGAGAAUACUUAUCAAAUAGACCUGAUGAUGAUGAACUACAAGAGGCUGGUUAUAUGUCAAUAUUUUCAUAGCAAAAAUAUAUUUAAAAUAUACACAUAUAUGUAUUUAGAUAUUAAUAUGUUAUACAUAUUUAACAGAUAGACAUAGCAUUUCAGUGGGUUAAACCAGAACAAACAGAAAAAAAAGAGUUACAAAAACUGUGUAUGUUAUUAGAAAUGUGUGUAAGCCAUUAAUAUAGAAAAAAAUGCUAUUAUACUUGCAAUGUUUUAUACUUCCACAGCCAUCAUUAACAAAAAGUUGUGAGUAAGUAGUGAUUCCCUAAACUAAAAUAUUCCUUUCCUCACUUUGGACAAAUACCAUGUGUAUUUUUAUGAACUUUCUAUUGCAUGUAACAAGCACAUAUUCUGAAAGAGUUCUGUUUCCAGUAUAGUGAAGUAAGUUUUUUAUCUAAUAGCCUGACUCUCUGACAGGUAACAACUAUAAAGUCCAGACCAAAAAUCCCCCUCAAAAAACAACUAUUCUUUGAGGGCUCUGGAGAGUGUAGAAGAGCAGAAAAAAAAGGGAGUCAAAUUCAGACUGCUGAGUUUUACCCUCAGGGCAAUCAUAAUGUUGGCAUGAAGUUAAAACUUCAAUAGAAAGUCUGUGCCUCUCUGGUGAGAGGAUUUAAGGGAAGGUGAGCCUGUGUGGCUCAGCAGUCAGCUAAUGUCUUGGGCAUAGUUUAUACUCAGAAUCUGGCAUUCCCUUCUCUGGUUUUCUCCUUUCUGGGUGGUAUGGUUAGGCUUUGUGUCCCCACCUAAAUCUCGUCUUGAAUUGUAAUCUCCAUAAUCCUCACGUGUCAAGGAAGAGAUCAGGUGGAGUUAAUUAGAUCAUGAGGGAAGUUUCCCCCAUGCUGUUCUCAUGAUAGUGAGAGAGUUCUCAUGAGAUCUGAUGGUUUUAUAAGGGACUCUUUCCCCUUCACUUGGCACUCUUCCUUCCUGCUACCUUGUGAAGAAAGUGCGUUACUUCCCCUUCACCUUCCACCAUGAUUGUAAGUUUCCUCAGGCCUCCCCAGCCAUGCUGAACUGUGAGUCAACUAAGCCUUUAUGAAUUACCCAGUCUUGGGCAGUUUUUUAUAGCAGUAUGAAAAGGGACUAGUACACUGGGGUUUCCCAUUAUUCUCCGGUGAUUCCAGUUGCCCUAGAUUCUUUCCCCUAAAUCUUCCCACACCCUGGGCAGGCAGUGUGCAUUUUGAGUCUAACCAAGUUAAUUGCUUUCUAAAGAAAAAAAAACACCCUUUGAAAAAGUAUAAAAGAAUUGAGAGUCUCCACAACAUAGUAUUGAUAUGUUAAAGACAUAGUCCAAAAGUACUUAAGAACCAGGAAGAUGUGAUCCAUUCCUGAGGGAUAGGACAAUCAACAGAUGUUAACUUCAAAAUAAUGUAGACAUUAGAAUUGUUAGAAAAGAGCAAUGUAGACAUUGGGAUUGUUAGAAAAGCAGCUGGUAUAACCAUGCUUAAUCAGGUAAAAGAAAAUAUGCUUUAUCUCACAAUUUUGUUUUUUUGGUAAAAGUGCCUAAAAUCUAUUCUCUUAGUAAUUUUUCACUAAAUAGUACAAUAUUAUUAACCAUAGUUCUCAUGCUGUACAUUAGAUUUCUAGACUUAUUUAUCCCACAUAACUGAAACUUUGUACCCUUUGACCUCUGUCUUCCCAUUCCCUCUCUUACAACCUUCCCCACCACCCUGCCCCUGGUAACCACCCUUCUAUUAUCUGUUUCUAUGAAUUCAAGGGAUUUUUGUUGUUGUUGUUGUUUAGUUUAGAUUCCACACAUAAGUGAGAUUAUCCAGCAUUUUUCUUUCUGUUCUGGUUUAGUUCACUUAGCAGAAAUGGAAAAAAAUCCUAAAAUUCAUAUAGAAUUACAAAAAACUCCAAGUAGCUGAAACAAUCCUGAGAAAGAAAAACAAAGUUGGAAGUAUCACACUUCCUAAUUUCAAAUUAUAUUACAAACAAUAGUAAUCAAAACAGUAUGCUACUGGCAUUAAAAAAAAAAGUACAGACCAAUGAAACAGAGUAGAGAGCCCGGAAACAAAGCCACUCAUAUAUGGCCAACAGAUCUUCAAUAAGGUCACCAAAAAGAUACAAUGGGAAAAGAAUAUUUUUUUUCUACAAAACAUCCUGGAAAAAUUGGAUAUUCACAUGAUAAAGGGUCAAAGGGUACAAAGGUCAAAGGGUAUGAAGUUUCAUAUGAUAAAGAAUGAAAUUGAAUCCUUAUCUUACGCCACAUACAAAAAUCAACUCAAAAUGAGUUAAAGACUUAAACAUAAGAUCUGAAACCGUAAAACUCCUAAAACAAAACACAGGGAAAAUCUCCUUUAUUGAUGUUGGCAAGAAUUCUUUUGGAUAUUGCACCAAAAGUACCGGCAGCAAAAGCAAAAAUAAACAAGUGGGAGUAUAUCAAACUAAGAUAUACUUUUAAUGGAUGAAAAAAUAAGCAAUCACAGCAGAGAAAUAGAAAAUUUUGAUAUACUUUCUUAAAAGCGAAAGAAAGGGGUAAAGUUACAACAAAUGUGCAAAAUGUGCAUAACCCGGGAUGUGUCAUGGUGGUGUGUCAGGCACGUGACUGCCAUCUGUCACAGAUGCCUGAGUGAGAAGGUGGUGGGAACAGCUAUGUUACACAGUAGGGAACUGCUGACCCUUCUUUUCAUUGAUUGGCUGUUCUGUUUCAUUUUUAGGAGAAGAUUGUUACAUUCAGGGCUGUGACUUAAAAAUAACUAUUAAGGCUCGGCGAGGUGGCUCACGCUUGUAAUCCCAGCACUUUGUGGCCAGGGCGGGUGGAUCACAAGGUCAGGAGAUCAAGACCAUUCUGGCCAACAUGGUGAAACACCGUCUCUACCAAAAAUACACAAAUUAGCUGGGCGUGGUGGUGUGCGCCUGUAAUCCCAGCUACUCGGGAGACUGAGGCAAGAGAAUUGCUUGAACCCAGGAGGUGGAGGUUGCAGUGAGCCGAGAUCGUGCCACUGCACUGCAGCCAGGUGACAGUGAGACUCCGUCUAAAAAAAAAACUAUUAAAAGAUGUAUAGGCAAUUGAAAAUUGUAUUAUUACAUAAAGCACCAUAAAAUUGACAAGAAAUAAGGCAAAAUAUCAAAGGGCAAAUGGGUAAAAGACAUGGACACACAAUUCCUAAAAGAAGAAUUAUAAUAGGUAAAUAAAUGUAUGCAAAUGGCCAGCCUCACUACUCAAAGAAAUACAAACUGAAGUGUUAAUAUCACUUCUUGCUAAUUAAAUUGGAAAAACUUUGAUGAUAAUAUUCAGUUCUAAUUGAAGGGAUAGGAAAAUUGUGUAUUCAUAUGAUAUAUACAAAUCUCUUUAUAAAACAGUUUAAAUGUCUUGGACAAUAGUUAGCAGUAUGCAUCAAGAGCUACAAAAGCAUUCAUAUUAUUAAAUCUAGUAACACCAAUUUUGGACAUUUAGGAAGUAACCUCAAACAUUAAAAAGCUACAUAAAUGAGGUUGUUCAUCACCAAGUAACUUAACAGCAAGAAAUAAUUUUAAAAAGGUAAAAUUAAAGAAAAACUGGGCCCAAGCCCCAGCUUCAUCACUCAGACAAGUCCAGUAGUGGGUCAUAUUGGCAGUUUCUAAUGGACCAUGCUUCCCCUCUGCUUGCACCUGGCAUAGGCCAGUGGUUGGCUUUAAGCAAAAGAAUGCAGUGGGAGUGACAUUGUGUUCAUUCUGGACUUAAGUUCUAAGAAGGCUUUUGCUCUUUGAGUAACUCUGAGCCACCAUGCGAGAAAUCCAAUUACCCUGCCGGAGAGCCCAUAGAAAGGAAGAGGCCCUGAGACCCCAUGGAGAGAGAGACCCAGCCAUCCCAGCUGAGCCCGGCCUUUUAGCUGUCCCCAGCCAGGUGCCAGACAUGGGAGUGAGCCAUCUAAGACAUUCCAGCCCCAGCCACCAUCUGAUGCAGCAUCAUGAGAAAUCCCAAGUGAGGUCAGCAAAAGAACUGUCCAGCUGAUCCCCAGUCCACCCACACAAUCAUUUGAAAUAAUAAAUUGGUUGUUGUUGCAAACCACUAACUUUGGUAUGUUUUUAAAUGUAGCACUUGAUAACUGAAGCCCCAGAUUAAUUAAGGAAACUACUCUACCCUCAUAUUCCUCACCUGCAAAACUGAGUAAUAAUUAUAGUGUCCUGAAAAUAGAUUUGUCAUGAUGGUCAAAUAAGAUAAUGUGGUCAAAGUUUCGGAGCCUUUUCCGCCAAAGUCUGGUGUCAGAAGACGGUGAAUAGCAUUCGUGGGUAGCCUGGAGGGUGUGGCUUAAAGUGUCCUGCUAAACAUAUGCUAUUUCUUAGAAGGCUUGUGUUAAACGUCAUAGCUAGUUUUGAAUUCUCUGUAAAGGGUCCCUGUCAUUAUUUUUAAACGCAUCUUCUCCACUUUAUACACAUUCUGGUUAUCUUGUGUCUUCACAUCCUCCUGCAGCAUCAUAGGGAAGCCUCAUGGAUAUUAAUACUCCAUUUGAAAGAUGUAAGUACCUGUAAUCUAUAAAUGUGGAACAAAGGAUAAUCACUGGUAAGAGGAGACAAACAAGGAAUAGUCAAGAAAGGCAGAGGAGUCCAAGAAAUUACCAGGUCUUGGAAACUGAGGGAGAUUUAACAGUCAAGUGUUGCAAAAAGACCAUUGGGUUGGGUGCCUGGUAAGCCACUUAAUGUUCAAAGGAAUGAUUUCUUUGGUGAGGAGGCAAGAGCCAUGGGCAGAAUAAAUGUGGACAGAGAAGGUUUUUUGAGGAUGUAAGGAGAGCAACUGAUAAGAGGAAAUAACUUCAGGAAGAAGCGGGGACAUAGAGAAGGUUUUUUUCUGUUUUGUUUCAUAAGAGAAUAAUGCUGCACGUGUUUUUAAUAAUGGAGAGAAAAGCAAUAAAGAGCAGAGAACUUGGAUACAGAGAGGGGCUGAUAAGAAACAAAAUCCAAGAAGAACUGAGAAGCUUAGGAUGGUUAAUGUAAGUAAAGGAGUUAGGACCAGAGAGGGAAAUGAAAGAACCAUCUCUGUAAUUGGAAGGAGGGAGGAAAGGGUGAGGGAAGAUACAGAGACAUUUAGAAAUGGAGGGAAGAGGAGGGAAAAUUCAUGUUCUGCAGCAUCAGUUGAUUAGGGAUCUAGGUCACCUGCAGAGAAGGGGCAGCUGGAGGCUUGAAGAGAGUGGGAAGAUUUCCUAUACUGGAGGAGCGAUAGGGGAAUCAGAUGGAGGUGGGUAAAAAUCCAAGUAUCAGUGAGAGGCUCAUUUAGGGUGGAGAAUGUACAUUUAUUAUGGCAUCAGUUCCUGAAUUCCUAGGAUAUUACAAUAGGCAGGCAGACAGAGAGACAGACAGACAGAAACAAUGGUGGAAAUGAGUGAAUUGGUGUUUCCCAGCAGUAGGGAUUGAAAAGACAGGUUAAGUCUGGAGAAAUGUCAGAGUGUCACAGAGGGGACGCUCAUGUUACUAGAGCAUCAUUGACCAAACCAGGUGGAGUGUGACUUGGGCUGAAAGUGUGCCGGUGGACUAGGUGCAUGUGAUAGGGUCCAGGGUUGGGACAUGAUGGAUGUUGAGAAUACUCUCAGUAGGAAUGAGGGAGUUAAAAAAUGUUAAAAACAGUCAGAGACACUUCACAUUAACAGCUCUUAAAAUUUGGACCUUGCCCAUAAUGCUGUGUUUCAAAGUGCAAUUAUAAUUCUGAAUGUCUGAAGAGUAUGGUAGCUUGAGGAAAGAAAGAAAGAAAGUGAUCUUGAAGUGUUGUCUUGUGGAUGGUAUGAAGGUCAGUUUUAUGUGUCAGCUUCGCUUGGCUAUAGCCCCAGUUAACCACUAAUAUAGGUGUUGUCAUGAAGGUAUUUUGUAGCUGUGAUUAAAGUCCAUAAUCAUUUGACAUGAAGUAAGGGAGAGUGUCCUCGAUAAUCUAAUGGGCCUGGUUCAAUCAGUUGAAAGGCCUGGGAAGCAGAGCUGAGGUUUCCUGGAAGAGGAAGACGUUUCUACCUGUGGACUGAAGCUUCAGUCAGUGCCUGAGAAUUCCAGCCUGCCCUUCCUGAUGGCCUGCUGUAUAGAUUUUGGACCUGCCUAGCCAGCCCCACUGUCACAUAAGCAGUCCUUUCCAAUAAAUCUCCUAGUCCUUUCCAAUAUUAUCUCCUAGUGUUUCUGUUUCUCUGAUUGAAUCCUGACUGAUGGAGAAGGGAUGGGAUAGGGAGAAAGUCUGUAAGCUUCUACCCUCUCCUGCUCAUAUCGUAAUUGUGGCACUUAAAAAAAAACAGGUGAAAAGAUGGAUGUAAUUCAGGUUUGAGAUGGAAAGAAUAGAAGAUAGAUGAAUGGAUGGAUGGGGAAGUGAAAGAGUGAGUAAGUGUGUGAGUAGAUGGUUCCAUACACUAAAUAGGAAUAAAUUCUCUCUAAAAUAGGAAGAAAAAACUGUUAUCUACAAGUCUUUUGUGGGUGAGAUAAAUGCUAAAGAGUACUUCUGAAACCUAAAGUUAUUGGUAAAUAUAAAAUAUGUGUUUACUAUUUUAAGCAUCAACUUAAAAUAUGAAACUAUGAGAAACAUUUUCAGUUGGUGUUGCCUAGAGCUGUUCUGUGCACUCAGCUUUCCAACAUUAAGCAAGAUGUGAGGACAUGCUCUGGUGGAAAUGUUGGCCUCUUGCUUAGUAGAUAUAAGAAUGGUGGACUUGGUUCAGGACUUGAGUUGAACAGGAAUCCUUUCCACUUUUCUCUCUCAUGCCUUUUGCUCUUCCCUGGAGGUGGAGGAGAGAAGUGGAGUAGAACUCAGUUUUGCUUAGCAAAUGUUUCCAGAGUGGCUCUUGUGAGCAGGUGAGCCUGAUAGGCAAUAGAAGGACCUCAAAUACCACACAGAAAAGGUGGAAAUUGUUCCUUGCUAUUCCAUCAACCAAACCUUGACUUAAUUCAUUUCAUUAGGAAAGUUCAAGAAGGUUUUAAAUUUCAGACUCAAAAGUCUGCACCAUCUCUGUAGAAACAGUGAAGUAUUGCCUCCAUCAGAGAGCCCCUCUGAUAGUUUAUAGGUGUGUCAGAUCAGAUGAAGCAAAUACAUAUGAGAGAAGAUCCCACACUGUGUGUUGACUCCCUGCCCCAGGGUCUCAUACCACCACGGGGCCGUCUCUGUAAGGAUGUGGGAGAAUUUUCCUACACAAAGAUAAGCAGAAGCCCUGCUUCUGUCUGAUACCUGCCCACUGCUGGUGCUAUGAUUUGUCUGGACCACAGGAUGACAUGGCACAAGUUUCUGUGAACAAGCUAAGGAAACCCGUUGGAGAGAAAGUAUCCUAAAGGAAGAAGGAGGCUGGGCCCAGUGGCUCAUGCCUGUAAUCCCAGCACUUUGGGACAGCAAGGUGGGCAGACUGCUUGAGCCCAGUAGUUUGAGACCAGCCUGGGCAACCUGGUGAAACCUUGUCUCUACAAAAAAUAAGAAAAUUAGCUGAGUGUGAUGGUGCGUGCCUGUAAUCCCAGCUACUUAGGAGGCUGAAGCAGGAGGAUCACUUGAGCCUUGGGAGGCGGAGGUUGCAGUGAGCCGAGAUCAUGCCAUUGCACUCCAGUCUGGACGACAGAGUGAGACUCUGUCUCAAAAAAACAAAAACAAACAAACAGAGAAGGAGCUGGAUAUGUUGAACUGGCUGAGUCACAGCUUUAAUCAUCAGAGGAGUGCAGUGACACUAAGGACAGUGUAUGGUCCAUUGCUGGAUUUGGAUAUUCUGUGGAACCUAAGCAGAGAGAGAAUUAGUGGUAGGACCUGCAAGAGCUGUCCUGCUGAAAACUAUAAAUAUCAGAAAGUAUGGCUUUAGCAAGAAUUACUGAAAUGGGAGGGGAGAAUUCAACUUCCAUUUGCCAUAAACCAAGCAGCUAUAGCAUCGUGGAAAGCCAGGGUGCUGGUGGUGAUACGGCAGGGUCCCAGCUCUGGGCGAAGCAUGUACUGUGCCCCGCAGGAGGGAGCUUGUUCAUCAGCAUACAGUAGACAUGCCCUGGGACUCCGAGAAGUGCUGAGGACCUCACACAUGAGACACUGCUGUUACUGUGACCCCAGCUCUACCCAUAGGUGGAUCUAAAGAAGGUAGGGUCACAGGAGGACUCAGAGGACUUGCUGCUUCCAUCUGGUGAUGAAUUCUUCUGCCAAAUAAAGCCUAGAGUACCAUGAAGGGUCAGAAGUAUUACAUUGUUCAUUACAAUUAUUUUGCUCAAACAAUUUGUUAAUUCUGUUAUCCUAUUUGUUUGUAGGUGUAGUUCAAUUAAGUGCCAGCCUGCCUUGUAUAUAAUUCUUGGUGUACGCUUGUGUUUUUGAUCAAGAAAAUUGAGCUAUAGUCACUUUCACUUUCUUCUGUUGCUGGGCUGACUAUAUUCUGGAGACCUGAAAUGUCCCUCCAAGGGACAUUUAAUGAAGGUCUCAUUGCCUACUGACCUAUGGGCAUCAGGGAACUGGGCUGAGUUACAGUUAAGGAUGGUGUAUGGCUCUGUCUGCUCUUAACAGCCAUUGACCAAAUUGUACAGCCCCUUUAUUAGAAGUUCUUGAAACCCUAUGUGCACAGCAAGUUUUUCCCUCUCUCUGGUGGACCCUAAACUUCUUUAUUUUUAACAGUGAAUGCGACUGUGUGCCUCUUGGGGGACUUCUCCUGAUGCACAGCCAAAAUGUAAUGUUUUGUUCACUCCUUCCUCUGAGAAGAGGACUGGAUCAGCCUAUGAAUACUAGAAAACAUGCAUUUGAUUUCUGCUUUCAAUCAUUUUUUGAGAUUUAUUGUUCCUGGUUGUGUACCAUUAGACAGAAGUGAUGGGAUCAAUAAAACUUGGAAUUGUCUAACAAGAAAGGGCCAGUUUCUUGCUUAUUAUAUUUGUAAUAACAGAGUCCAUUGGGUAGCACUCCGGUCUGUGAAAGUCAGUGAAUCAAUAAUGCUCUUGUGGUCUGGAUAAUAAUAUACCUUGGCAUGGUGUGAGUGAUGCCAGCAGGUGGGCGGAGAGGCAGGGAAGGAAAGGUCUCAUGCCUUUCAGGUUGACACUAAGAAAGAGGCUUCCAUUCCUUUCCCUGUUCUACCACAUUCUCCUAAUGUGUAUAAGAAAUUAUUCAAAGACAGCAACAGAUUUCCCUCCUGACCUUUAUAGUUGCUGGUUUGGAAUGAUUUUUGGCUGCUUGCUGGAAAAAAAAAUUAUUGCAGAGAUGAAUUGUCAGGACAUCCGCUCCCCUUCCCAUCAGCUUUAUAAACAUUUUGUACUGGAGGCAGUGUGUGUGUGCAGAAGAAACGCUAUGGAAAGUGCUGUAGAAACAAGUGUGGUUUGUUGGCUACCAAAUCUCAAGGCUAUGCUCACUGGUCAGAAUGGUUGGUGUCCAGACCCCCAGCCCCUCAGAUUCUGAGAUGUCUGUGUACCAGGGUAGCACCAGGGAUGGGUUUUCUCUGAGACUGUCUUUUCAUGAUACAGUGUAAAAUGUUUCCCAUGAAAGGGCAGAGCUGAAGAAGCAGUGCAAGUCCAUUUGAAGACCUCUGGAAGGAAACCCCCAGCGGCUCUUUUUUCACUGAACAAGCAUUGUGGGAAUUUGGGGCUCGGCUGUGUAAUUUGUCCUCUUCUCAUUCAUUCAGGUACUAGGAGAGCAGGGCAGUAUGGAAAGGUGCUACUUCAAGGGAAAGGCUUUGAGGUUAUUGCAAAUGGUGGGGGACUGGGGUGGAGUGGGCUACAGGUACAGUGACCAGAAGAUGCUGAAUUCCAAACUGUUUCCUAAAGCCUUUCUUCUGGACUCGACAGUUUUCAAAUCUAAAGAACAUAUUGUGUUGUUUGCAAAGGAAAUAUUGUAAUGGCUUCUUAGUUCAUCCAGGAAAAGAGUCUGUCACUAAUGGGCAUUUUGUAAAAUGAAAUCCUUCUAGGGAGAAGGAUAACUGGUCAGAUUUGAAGGUUAAAAAAAAAGGUCUUGACACUGAUCUCGGUUUGCAGAGAAACAAGAAAUUCUGUCUGACUUCUUUUCAGUGGGAGCUAAAAUUUUAACCACCCCGAUUGCACUCACUUAUAUGAAAACGUUAAUGUUAAACAAAUAGGCAGGGAUUUCUUUUAUUAUUAUUUAUAGAGGAGAAUUUUGCCAUCAGGAAACAUGUUGGCUAAUCUGCUUUGGCCAAAUUCUCCUUAGAGACAGUGAUUAAUAGAAGGAAUGAGUGGAAGAUUAGUAUACGCACAAGGCUAUUCAGGAGUGGGGGUAAAAUGUUAAUGCGGUGACCUUUAAAUCUUCAUUUUUCUUUAUUUCCCUGAAUGCUAAUUAAAGGACAUGUUCAGCACCAGGAGGAAUUUGCAUCCAAGUCCGUCUCCCUGCUAAGUGGUAUUUUGAGAAUUCCGAAGCUUAGUCUCAGAGAAGAGCUGACCUGAACUUGCCGAGGCUCCCACUGCAUUGUAGCUUUUCUCUGGAGAACAAAAACUGCCAUUGUCCAGCAGCUCAUUAGCAUGACUGUACAGCCUCCGGAGUUAGCAAGGUGAUGCAAAAAUAAUAUGACAAGAUCCAUGUCUUCAAUGAGCUACAAUCCUACUGGGACAUGAGACUGUGCUUAUAAUAUGAUGAAAGAAUAAGAAAAUUUUAAAGGUGAGAAAAGAAGAUUUUGUCUUCCUUUCAUUCCCUUAGUAUUGAUAGGUGGGACUAAAUAGCCACUUUUCAUGACAAUAACAGCUAUAACAGGCAGAGCACAAGAACAAGCAGAGCUAUAACAAGCAGAGCACAAGAAGGAAGAGUGCAGAUCCAGGACUGGGACACUUAACCAAUAAUAAUACAAAUAGUGAGUACUGUUAGUUGAUUUUCCAGGCUCCUCUUCUCACUUGUAAUGGAAUUACAAAUUAUUUUGUUGGUCAUUGACACUAACCCCAGAUUCAGAAGGAGAUUUGAUUAGAGUAGUGUGAGUAUAAUCUCAUUGCUACUUCCAUAGCAAUUGGUUUGGGGUGAAUACUGUUGGGUGACAGCAGAGGGAGAUUAUUUCAUUUCCUGUGAUCUGUGUUCAAGGAAUUAUGGUGUUUUAAUUGCUGCUAGUAGCACUUUACUUUAGGAUGAAACCUGGUACAUACAUGUAAAGCACUUUAAACAGUUCCUGGUGCAAAGUAAAUGCUUAACAUGUGUUCUUUAUUGCUAUGGUUUGAAUGUAUGUGCCCCUCCAAAAUUCAUUUGUUGGAACUUAAACCCCAAGGUGAUGGUAUUAAGAGAUGGAGCCUUUGGAAGGUGACUGAGCCAUAAGCGCUCUGCCCUCAUUGAUGGGAUUAGUGCCCUCAUAAAAGAGCUUGAGGAGCUAGUUCUCCCUUUUUGUCCUUUUGCCCUUCCUCUCUUUCUACCAGAUGAAAACACAGCAGCAACAGGUGCCAUUUUGGAAGCAAGAAGCAGAGAACAAGCUCUCACUGGGCAUUAAAUCUGCCGGCAUCUUGAUCUUGAACUUCUCAACCUCCAGAACUCUGAGAAAUAAAUUUCUAUUAUUUACAAAUUA